rnacentral:rRNA from 1 species
ACGUAUGGGGCGAGCGUUGUUCGGAAUUAUUGGGCGUAAAGGGUGUCUAGGCGGGGGAUUAAGUUAGAUGUGAAAGCUAAGGGCUCAACCCAUAAAAUGCAUUUAAGACUGUUUAUCUUGAGUUCGGGAGAGGAGGGCGGAAUUCCAGGUGUAGCGGUGAAAUGCGUAGAUAUCUGGAAGAACACCGAUGGCGAAGGCAGCUCUCUGGCCUAUGACUGACGCUGAUGCGCGAAAGCGUGGGGAGCGAACAG